rfam:Chlorocebus sabaeus isolate 1994-021 chromosome 27, whole genome shotgun sequence.
UCGCUUUGGCAGCAAAUAUACUAAAACUGGAAUGAUACAGAGAAGAUUAGUAUGGCCCCUGCACAAGGAUGACACACAAAUUUGUGAAGUGUUCCAUACAAAA